CCCGGUAGCUAAAUGCGGAAGAGAUAAGUGCUGAAAGCAUCUAAGCACGAAACUUGCCCCGAGAUGAGUUCUCCCUGAGACUUUAAGUCUCCUGAAGGAACGUUGAAGACGACGACGUUGAUAGGCCGGGUGUGUAAGCGCAGCGAUGCGUUGAGCUAACCGGUACUAAUGAACCGUGAGGCUUAACCUUACAACGCCGAAG
rnacentral:rRNA from 2 species